ACCACAGAUUGUACAUACACAUUCAUAAAUGAAGUAGGGCUGCCCCCUAAUAGUAGACUAAAAACUUGUUGGUUUUACUAGUAAUGUUGUUAUACAAAAGAAAUUAGAGGGAAUAUUCUAAAUGGAAAACUCUUAUUCAGGGCAGCUCUAAAAUGAAGGUUUUUUUUCCCGCUGCAUCAAAUGAGGAGUUGUAUUAUAGGCACAAAAACAAAGCAAGAUUGGUGGUGUGCACUAAUGAGUGGGCUCGUGAUGUCCUCCGGGAGUGCCAUGACAACCUGGGCACUGGAGGUCAUCAAGGGAGGCGCAGGACAAUGGAAAAAAUAAAGGCAUCCUACCACUGGGCAAGAAUGCGAGAGGACGUUAAGAAAUGGGUAGGUUUUUGGACUUCGUGAAAGUUGCCAAAGCCAGUGCUUUCUGACAUCCUCACUGAGGUGGUACUCCAAGAGGGAGAUGAAGCUUACUCAACUCUGGCUCUGGUGUGUUCCACCUUCAGGAACAUAGUGUCCACUGACAGGUUCAAAAGACAGGCACAUUUUCUGUGGCUCAACACAGGCGUCACUACAUGGUGUAGACAGAGUAUCCGCCAACUACAGAGCAGAGUUCUACACCAUGUACAGUAUUGGGACCUGCAUGGCAUGUGGUCGGCUCUACAAAGUCUGCACAGGUUCUUACCUUCGAUAAUAGGGACUUUAAGCAGCAACGUUUUAUGGGAGGCAACGGCAUCUUGUUGCCGUAGUAUAACUCAAGUAUCACUUAGCCACUCUCUACUUGCUUGACAAAACACCCAUUCCUCUUUAUAAACAGACGGACUACUGGAACGGGAGGUGAUAACAUAAAUUCCAGAAUCCCAUAAGUUGUUCUCGAGGUAGCCCUCCACUCAACUGUUGCUACUCCAAGUCCCUAAUCGUAUGUGUCAGUACAUGAAGUGUUAAGGUCAUACCUGUAUAGACCGCAUGCAAAGUGUGUGGUUAGACUAUGAUUUCAUUUUUUUUUUUCUGUUUUAGGAUAUAUUGGUACAUGGAAAAGAGACAAACUGGAAGGAAUAUAUUCCGACAGCUACGACGGGGGGUACUGUGAUGACAUCUGCCGUCCAAGAUCAUAGGUACAUUUAAGUUGUAAAUAUGGAUACAAAUCCCUGACGAGACUAAUUGCAUGAAGUUGAAGGUCUCAAGAUAAAUACAUCUGCACACCUCUGCUUUUUUCAGAUGGCAUUCUCCCCCCCCCCCCCCCCUUCCCGUCGAGAGGAGUGGAGAUAUGGCUUGAUGACUGUUGUUUUCAGAGCCUGUGGGAAUACACCAGUGCGAUAUCGCCACUGCAGGCCACAUGAAUAAAAAAAUAUAUAAUAUACAAAUAUGUCAGUGUGUGUGCCCGUGUGUGUAUCCAAACACAUACACUGCAAUUCACAUACACACAUACAGCUCAAUGUAAAUCCAUGAAAACAUCAUGUUUUGAUCCCACGGCCGA